GAUAACGAUACAUAUUCAUUAAAGGAGUUAGAUGAUACAAGGUUGAAAAUAUCUAUUGCUAGGAAGCAUGUGAAGAUUUUUAAAAGAUGAGAUAGAGAAAUCAAAUGGAAGAUCAUGUUGAAGAUAUCGAUAUUUUUGAAGAAGAUAAUUAUGUUGAAGAUGAUGGUGAAAAUAGAAAUGAAGAUUUGAUGAAAAAAAAUGAAGAAAUGGUGUAAUGUCAAUUAUGACAUUUGAUUUAUUUAGAGCAUGCCAAAAGAUGCACAGGUUAAGAGGGAAUAGAUGUCGUGAUGUAAUACGAUUAUAUAGUGAAAUUAUAAUUAAAAUUGAAUUUCUAAUUAAUAUCUAAUUAUCUUAGUUCAAUUAUAAUUUGAGGUAUCUAAACAUGGCUUUUAAAAAAACCUCUUAGGUUAUUUCUUUAUCUUAAUAGUUAGUAAGUUGAAAGU
rnacentral:lncRNA from 1 species